rnacentral:rRNA from 1 species
AACGAACGCUGGCGGCAUGCCUAACACAUGCAAGUCGAACGAGACCUUCGGGGCUAGUGGCGCACGGGUGCGUAACGCGUGGGAACCUGCCCUUAGGUUCGGAAGAACUCCCCGAAAGGGGUGCUAAUACCGGAUAAUGUCUUCGGACCAAAGAUUUAUCGCCUUUGGAUGGGCCCGCGUUGGAUUAGCUAGUUGGUAGGGUAAAAGCCUACCAAGGCGACGAGCCAUAGCUGGUCUGAGAGGAUGAUCAGCCACACUGGGACUGAGACACGGCCCAGACUCCUACGGGAGGCAGCAGUGGGGAAUAUUGGACAAUGGGCGAAAGCCUGAUCCAGCAAUGCCGCGUGAGUGAUGAAGGCCUUAGGGUUGUAAAGCUCUUUUACCCGGGAUGAUAAUGACAGUACCGGGAGAAUAAGCUCCGGCUAACUCCGUG